rnacentral:rRNA from 1 species
AAUCCAUAGGUUAAUGAGGCGAACCGGGGGAACUGAAACAUCUAAGUACCCCGAGGAAAAGAAAUCAACCGAGAUUCCCCCAGUAGCGGCGAGCGAACGGGGAGGAGCCCAGAGCCUGAAUCAGCAUGUGUGUUAGUGGAAGCGUCUGGAAAGGCGCGCGAUACAGGGUGACAGCCCCGUACACAAAAGCGCAUGUGCUGUGAGCUCGAUGAGUAGGGCGGGACACGUGGUAUCCUGUCUGAAUAUGGGGGGACCAUCCUCCAAGGCUAAAUACUCCUGACUGACCGAUAGUGAACCAGUACCGUGAGGGAAAGGCGAAAAGAACCCCGGCGAGGGGAGUGAAAAAGAACCUGAAACCGUGUACGUACAAGCAGUGGGAGCACAGGUUUACCUGUGUGACUGCGUACCUUUUGUAUAAUGGGUCAGCGACUUAUAUUCUGUAGCAAGGUUAACCGAAUAGGGGAGCCGGAGGGAAACCGAGUCUUAAUUGGGCGUUAAGUUGCAGGGUAUAGACCCGAAACCCGGUGAUCUAGCCAUGGGCAGGUUGAAGGUUGGGUAACACUAACUGGAGGACCGAACCGACUAAUGUUGAAAAAUUAGCGGAUGACCUGUGGCUGGGGGUGAAAGGCCA